GCUGGGCACGGUGGCGUGUGCCUGUAAUCCCAGCUACUCAGGAGGCUGAGGCAGGAGAAUUGCCUGAACCCAGGGGGCGGAGGUUGCGGUGAGCCGAGAUUGCGCCGAGCCGAGAUUGCGCCAUUGCACUCCCGCCUGGGUAACAAGAGCGAAACUCUGUCUCAA
rnacentral:SRP_RNA from 1 species